rnacentral:rRNA from 1 species
UCCGGAGGGUGCAAGCGUUAUCCGGAUUUACUGGGUUUAAAGGGUGCGUAGGUGGAUAAGUAAGUCAGUGGUGAAAUCUCCGGGCUUAACCCGGAAACUGCCAUUGAUACUAUUUGUCUUGAAUACUUUGGAGGUAAGCGGAAUAUGUCAUGUAGCGGUGAAAUGCUUAGAUAUGACAUAGAACACCCAUUGCGAAGGCAGCUUACUACGGAUAUAUUGACACUGAGGCUCGAAAGCGUGGGGAUCAAACAGG